GGAUGGGCGUUCCCGCCCCUAGCUGGGGCUUGGCAUGGUUGGGGCGCCGCGGCGGUGGCUGGGCUCGGAGUGUGAGUGGCCUAGCGCCACGUGUGACAGCUGCAGGGCUUAUCCCCUCCUGAACUGGACGCCGUUCGAAAGCGCGCCCUCCACUCGAACUGCUUGUUGGGCUCAUCAUGAAGCGCUUGGGCUCCGUGCAGCGGAAAAUGCCGUGUGUGUUUGUGACGGAGGUGAAAGAGGAGCCUUCCGCCAAAAGAGAUCAUCAGCCAUUUAAAGUUUUGGCAACUGAAACUAUAAGUCACAAGGCAUUAGAUGCAGAUAUAUACAGUGCAAUUCCAACAGAAAAAGUGGAUGGAACAUGUUGUUAUGUUACUACCUAUAAAGAUCAACCAUACCUUUGGGCCCAACUAGAUAGAAAACCCAACAAACAAGCUGAAAAAAGAUUUAAAAAUUUUCUACAUUCAAAAGGAAACCCAAAAGAAGUUUUUUGGAACGUUGAGGAGGACUUCAAACCAGCUGCAGAGUGCUGGAUACCAGCAAAGGAAAUAGAACAAAUAAAUGGAAACCCAGUGCCUGAUGAAAAUGGACACAUUCCUGGUUGGGUACCAGUAGAAAAAACCAACAAACAGUAUUGCUGGCACUCCUCUGUAGUUAAUUAUGAAUUUGAAAUUGCCCUGGUACUAAAACAUCAUCCUGAUGAUUCUGGACUUUUGGAAAUUAGUGCAGUGCCACUAUCAGAUCUCUUAGAACAAACACUGGAGCUCAUAGGAACAAAUAUCAAUGGAAACCCAUAUGGGUUAGGGAGCAAGAAACAUCCAUUACAUCUUCUUAUACCACAUGGAGCUUUUCAAAUAAGAAAUUUACCUUCACUGAAGCGCAAUCAUCUCUUGUCCUGGUUUGAAGGUUGCAAAGAGGGUAAAAUUGAAGGAAUAGUAUGGCAUUGCAGUGAUGGCUGUUUAAUAAAGGUCCAUCGCCAUCAUCUUGGCUUAUGCUGGCCAAUUCCAGAUACUUACAUGAAUUCAAGACCGGUUAUUAUCAACAUGAACCUGAACAAAUGUGACUCUGCCUUCGAUAUUAAGUGUUUGUUUAAUCAUUUUUCAAAAAUAGAUAAUCAGAAAUUUGCUAGACUCAAAGAUAUAAUAUUUGAUGUAUAAAAUGCAAAUAAAAUAAGUUUAUUAUC